CCGCGGGAUUAGAGUUUGAUCCUGGCUCAGGACGAACGCUGGCGGCGUGCCUCAUACAUGCAAGUGGAGCGACGAACCAGGAUUUAUCCUGGGGCGAAGCCGCGAACGGGUGAGUAACACGUGGGUUACCUGCCCCGAUGAUUGGGACAACCCGAGGAAACUCGGGCUAAUACCAAAUGUGUUCUUGGUCGUGAUGACCAAGAAGAAAGGAAGCCUCGGCCUCCGCAUCGGGAUGGGCCCGCGGCCCAUUAGCUAGUUGGUGGGGUAAUGGCCUACCAAGGCGACGAUGGGUAGCUGGUCUGAGAGGACGAUCAGCCACACUGGGACUGAGACACGGCCCAGACUCCUACGGGAGGCAGCAGUAGGGAAUCUUGCGCAAUGCGCGAAAGCGUGACGCAGCAACGCCGCGUGGGGGAAGAAGGCUCUCGGGUUGUAAACCCCUUUCAGUUGGGACGAAGCUUCGUCGGUUAAUAGCCGGCUGGAGUGACGGUACCUUCACAAGAAGCACCGGCUAACUACGUGCCAGCAGCCGCGGUAAUACGUAGGGUGCAAGCGUUGUCCGGAAUUAUUGGGCGUAAAGAGCGUGUAGGCGGUCCGAUCAGUCCGCUGUGAAAGUCCAGGGCUCAACCCUGGGAUGCCGGUGGAUACUGUCGGACUAGAGUCCGGAAGAGGCGAGUGGAAUUCCUGGUGUAGCGGUGAAAUGCGCAGAUAUCAGGAGGAACACCAAUGGCGAAGGCAGCUCGCUGGGACGGUACUGACGCUGAGACGCGAAAGCGUGGGGAGCAAACAGGAUUAGAUA
rnacentral:rRNA from 1 species